rnacentral:lncRNA from 1 species
CCACUUUGAUGACAUUUACAAUUUUAUAUAUAUAUAUUUACAUUCAGUAUCUGACAGCUUUUUUUUAACAGGAUCCUGCAUGUUAUAAAGAACAAGGAUGUUGAUCAAAUUUUCCUAACAGUGCAGCAUACAAGAGAUAUAAUAUCAUACAUGAAUGUAGGACUCCCAAGUCUUUCUGAUUGAAAAUAAGACUCCCUGGCAAACAGGAACAACUAUUAGUGAUGACUUUAUCCAAAUGUGAUACUUAACAAUGGUUUUGUAAGAGAGAAAAUUACAUGUGCUUAUCCUGACUGUAAAAACACCAUACUAUUGUAGUUCAUAUGCCAAACUUGAUGUACAUGUGUAUGCGAUUUUUGUGCAAUUGAUGACGAGACCAUUGAACUAAAAACAAAUACAAGACUCUGCAUUCAAUCUAUUGAAUUUGAAGCAGAAGUAAUACAGUGGCAGUUGUGCAGAUGGAUAAAAAAGCAAAUAAAUAUCUUGUGUUCAACUUCAAUUGUCUUCUUUAUGUUUACAAAGUAUACAUGUACAUGUAUAACAAUAUGGUGAUGUAGUAUGAUUGCUAAUGAGACAAUGAUUUACAUGUAUGACUAUCAUUGGAAGGCCACUCUAUAAUAUCUUUGUACAUCAUGAGAAUGGACAAUGCUACCCUUGUAGCAUAAAGG